CUUCUGUAGAUCAAGAAUUUGGUAACAAUACUAUUAAUAUUAUGAAGAAACAAAGAGAUCAUGAGUUGUCUUUAGACCUUAACAAUAUUCCAAUUCAAGAUGAUCAUCCUGUUGUAUCCUUAAAGCAACAAGAUCAAGAACAAACACAAAGGCAACUUGUUGAUUGUAAUUAUUGACAAUAAUGCAGGUACAUUUUUUUAAUUUUUUUUUUCUUACUUUUUAACCAUACAAUUAUAUGAGUAAAUAUUUUUCUCAUUGUUAUGAUAUACAAAUUCUUUAAUAUUAAUUCAGUGGAUAAUAUAGUAAAAACCACUUAGUAUUUGAUUCAUUUAAAUUCUCAUAGUACUUGAGUUUGCCACAUGAAUCAACAUUAAUAUAUAUGCCGAUGGUCUAUCAAAAUUAUUAUCUCUAUCCCAUAAAGAUAGAGAUAAAGUCUGCAUAUCUUGUUCUUUUCACACUUAUAAAAUUACACUGACUACAUUAUUAUUGUUAAUUAACAUGCAUACAUACCCUUUUGAGGAUUUACAGUCCACUUUAUGACUUAAUUUCUCUCUGUUUCCUUCACCAACGUGAAUAACGAUAAUAGCUUUAGAAUACUUAACUAGCAUGUUGGCCUUUUAAUCAUGUUAGGUCUUUUGGAUUGUACAUCACCUUUUUGUUACUCCCAUUGUUACAUUUUAUGUGAAAAUAUUUGAUUGAAUAUGAAUACGUGUGACAUGCAAGUCACAUACACACUAUAACGUACCAAUAUUCUUUUACAUAAAUAUAUAGAUUAGAAUUUCACGUGUCUUUUCAUUUUAGAAGAGUGGCGAUGAAGUUUUAACAAGUCAUGUUAGACCAGUCAACUUGUGCGUACCUUAAUUAUUCUACCAGAUACCAACAACUACCUCCCGCUAGCAGAAAUAUCAAGUAUUAAGCUUACCAUGUAUUUCUACAAGAAGUUGUUUACACAACUCGAACCAUAACCUCUAAUCACAAGACACCAACUUUAUCAAUUACACCAAACAUUCUUUUUAGUUUAAUUUGCUUCCUUGAUUCAAAACAUUGGACCAAGAAAUUAGUGAAAAUGCAUGCAUAUUAUAUUCCAAGUGGAGAUAUGCUUGUGGAAGACAAGUAACUAGCAUGAAAGAAAUAAUUUAGGUUUGUGUGUUGCACGUAAGGGAAGUUGUUGCAAGAGACAGGCAAAGUUUAGUGAAAAUGCAUGCAUAUUAUAUUCCAAGUGGAGAUAUGCUUGUGGAAGACAAGUAACUAGCAUGAAAGAAAUAAUUUAGGUUUGUGUGUUGCACGUAAGGGAAGUUGUUGCAAGAGACAGGCAAAGUUCAGUUCAUGUCCUAAACUUAUCCCCCUUUUAUCAUAUUCCACUUCUACCAACACCAUAUCUACACAAUCUUUUUUAUUCUCUCAUUAAUUUGAUAACACAUACAAUAAUCACACAGUUCGAUAUGGUAUUAAAACAAAUAAAGAUACUAGAUUCACGUCUCACCAUCAUCAUUGGAAAAAAAAUGUUUUGUCUAAGAAAAAAUUAUUAGACCUGAAUAUAUUAUCAUCUACUAGAUACUAUUCUUCCAUACCCUUAUAAUGUUCUCCAAGUCACUAUUUAUUCUCUUUGAGGAUUCGUUAUAAAGAAGCAAAAUAAGGCAAAAACCAACAUGAAAAUCUGACAAGUUGACUCUUAAAAUUUGAUAGUACAAAAUAAGAACAUAAACAACUAGAGUAACAAAUAUUUGAAUUUAAGACGCUUAUUACAAGAUAAUAAAACAUAAAUAAUCUUUCAGGCAACUUCCCUGUUGAAUAAACAGAGAACUGGGAUUAUUUUAUUUAUUGAUUAUCCAGGGCCAUUUUUCUAAAACUGAACAUAACAAGUUACAGUUCAUGUACCUUGUGUAAUGUUGCUGAACUAUGAAAGUGAUAACUCACGGAUCCUGCCAUCCAGGUUUCCCUUUUAAUGAGCAAACGGACUUUUAUCGAGAUUCAACAAACACAGAAGUUGUUCGGGCUGGCACGUUAAAGCAACCCGAGGUUGCAUCAUAUGUUGAGUUCUUAAUAAUGUCAGUUGAGUUCAUCUGGAGAUGCAAAAGUGAACAAUGAACAUCAUAUAAGUAGCUAGUCAUGCAUGAAGAUGCGAUUGUAUUUAUACUUCUAUUGUGAAACAAAUAGUAAGACACUUUCUAUAAACUCCGAAGAGGCUUGUAACAUGUGUUUACGGAAGCACAUUAACCAGUCUGGCAUAUUCAGAUAUAUAAAAAACAAAUAAAUACCUGU
rnacentral:lncRNA from 1 species